rnacentral:rRNA from 1 species
UACGUAGGGGGCAAGCGUUGUCCGGAUUUACUGGGCGUAAAGAGCGCGUAGGCGGAACGUUAAGUCCGGUUUGAAAGCCCCCGGCUCAACCGGGGAGAGUGGCUGGAAACUGGCGUUCUGGAGGGCGAUAGAGGAGAGUGGAAUUCCUGGUGUAGCGGUGAAAUGCGUAGAGAUCAUGAGGAAGACCAGUGGCGAAGGCGGGUCUCUGGACAGUUCCUGACGCUGAGGCACGAAGGCCAGGGGAGCAAACGGG